rnacentral:rRNA from 1 species
CAGUCGCCACGGGAAUACGGAGGGGGCUAGCGUUGUUCGGAAUUACUGGGCGUAAAGCGCACGUAGGCGGCUUUGUAAGUUAGAGGUGAAAGCCCGGAGCUCAACUCCGGAAUUGCCUUUAAGACUGCAGAGCUAGCAGGUGAGAGAGGUGAGUGGAAUUCCGAGUGUAGAGGUGAAAUUCGUAGAUAUUCGGAAGAACACCAGUGGCGAAGGCGGCUUACUGGCUCAUACUGGACGCUGAGGUGCGAAAGCGUGGGGAGCAAACAGGAUUAGAUACCCGCGUAGUCCCUGUCUCUUAUAC